rnacentral:rRNA from 1 species
CCUGGCUUAGGAUGAACGCUGGCGGCGUGCUUAACACAUGCAAGUCGAACGAAGCACCUCUAAUCGAAGAUUGAGAAAGCUUGCUUUGAUUGAUUCACCUUGAGGUGACUGAGUGGCGGACGGGUGAGUAACGCGUGGGUAACCUACCCUAUACAGGGGGAUAACAGUUGGAAACGACUGCUAAUACCGCAUAAGCGCACAGGACCGCAUGGUCUAGUGUGAAAAACUCCGGUGGUAUAGGAUGGACCCGCGUCUGAUUAGCUAGUUGGUGAGGUAACGGCUCACCAAGGCGACGAUCAGUAGCCGACCUGAGAGGGUGACCGGCCACAUUGGGACUGAGGCACGGCCCAAACUCCUACGGGAGGCAGCAGUGGGGAAUAUUGCACAAUGGGCGAAAGCCUGAUGCCAGCGACGCCGCGUGAACGAAGAAGUAUUUCGGUAUGUAAAGUUCUAUCAGCAGGGAAGAAAAAUGACGGUACCUGACUAAGAAGCUCCGGCUAAAUACGUGCCAGCAGCUGC